UGGGGAAUAUUGGGCAAUGGGCGAAAGCCUGACCCAGCAACGCCGCGUGAGGGAAGAAGGUUUUCGGAUUGUAAACCUCUGUCGCAGAUGACGAAGAAAGUGACGGUAAUCUGUGAGGAAGCCCCGGCUAACUACGUGCCAGCAGCCGCGGUAAUACGUAGGGGGCGAGCGUUGUCCGGAAUUACUGGGCGUAAAGGGUGCGUAGGCGGUUCUUUAAGUUGGAUGUGAAAUACCCGGGCUCAACCUGGGUGCUGCAUUUCAAACUGGAAGUCUAGAGUGCAGGAGAGGAGAGUGGAAUUCCUAGUGUAGCGGUGAAAUGCGUAGAGAUUAGGAAGAACACCAGUGGCGAAGGCGACUCUCUGGACUGUAACUGACGCUGAGGCUCGAAAGCGUGGGGAGCAAACA
rnacentral:rRNA from 1 species